CCCUUCAGUCUGUGCGCUGUCUCUACUCUCUCUGCUCCUCUCAUUGAAUCGCACUGCCAAACCCAAGUGCUGAUGUCAUCGCUGGGAAACUUAAAGGGACAACACCCUUUUUGUUUAUAGAGAGGCUUCUCUCAGUGAGUCACUUGAGCGGCACAAACAGAAUUUUCCAAUUAAAGGUUUGCAGAACCCUCCAGAAAUGAAAUCUUUGGCUUGUACCUUCAUGAAAACCCAGUAAACUUUUUAAAGUGGCAUCAUUAUUAUACUAGCUCUCAGCUCGCAGUCAGGAUAAGUCUCAUCGUGUGUCAGUGGUACAUGGAGAUGUGUAUCUCUGCAUAGCCAGUUGUCAUCUGUCACUUCUGAACUUUCCCUGGCACCGCUUAUAGAUCUGUAUUUUACAUUGCCUUGUCUAUCCAUAAUCUUAUUCUGGCUGCGUAAACAUAGAUGCCACCAUACAAGCAGGACCAAACAAAGUGCAGGAGGAUUUUCUUCUGAGAUUGGGUUGACGUGCAACUGGUUGUUUUGGUAGACUGCUGUGAGUAAUUUCCUGAGGGCUUGAACAGGAUGUCGUUGUCUGAUAAAUCCGGUGCUGUCACGGAAACGCCACUCACAGACGCGCCUGACACCG